rnacentral:rRNA from 1 species
GCCCCGGUAAACGGCGGCCGUAACUAUAACGGUCCUAAGGUAGCGAAAUUCCUUGUCGGGUAAGUUCCGACCUGCACGAAUGGCGUAAUGAUGGCCAGGCUGUCUCCACCCGAGACUCAGUGAAAUUGAACUCGCUGUGAAGAUGCAGUGUACCCGCGGCAAGACGGAAAGACCCCGUGAACCUUUACUAUAGCUUGACACUGAACAUUGAGCCUUGAUGUGUAGGAUAGGUGGGAGGCUUUGAAGUGUGGACGCCAGUCUGCAUGGAGCCGACCUUGAAAUACCACCCUUUAAUGUUUGAUGUUCUAACGUUGGCCCGUAAUCCGGGUUGCGGACAGUGUCUGGUGGGUAGUUUGACUGGGGCGGUCUCCUCCUAAAGAGUAACGGAGGAGCACGAAGGUUGGCUAAUCCUGGUCGGACAUCAGGAGGUUAGUGCAAUGGCAUAAGCCAGCUUGACUGCGAGCGUGACGGCGCGAGCAGGUGCGAAAGCAGGUCAUAGUGAUCCGGUGGUUCUGAAUGGAAGGGCCAUCGCUCAACGGAUAAAAGGUACUCCGGGGAUAACAGGCUGAUACCGCCCAAGAGUUCAUAUCGACGGCGGUGUUUGGCACCUCGAUGUCGGCUCAUCACAUCCUGGGGCUGAAGUAGGUCCCAAGGGUAUGGCUGUUCGCCAUUUAAAGUGGUACGCGAGCUGGGUUUAGAACGUCGUGAGACAGUUCGGUCCCUAUCUGCCGUGGGCGCUGGAGAACUGAGGGGGGCUGCUCCUAGUACGAGAGGACCGGAGUGGACGCAUCACUGGUGUUCGGGUUGUCAUGCCAAUGGCACUGCCCGGUAGCUAAAUGCGGAAGAGAUAAGUGCUGAA